rnacentral:rRNA from 1 species
UACGUAGGGGGCAAGCGUUGUCCGGAAUUAUUGGGCGUAAAGCGCGCGCAGGCGGCGACUUAAGUCUGGUGUUUAAACCUUGGGCUCAACCUGGGGUCGCACUGGAAACUGGGUGGCUUGAGUACAGAAGAGGAAAGUGGAAUUCCACGUGUAGACGGUGAAAUGCGUGAGAAGAUGUGGAGGAACACCAGUGGCGAAGGCGACUUUCUGGGCUGUAACUGACGCUGAGG